GUGUUCACCUUGGCAGCACAUAUACUAAACUGGAACGAUGCAGGGAAGAUUAGCAAGGCUCCUCCUGCACAAGGAUAACAUACAAAUCUAUGAAGCAGUCCACAUUUUA
ensembl:snRNA U6 U6 spliceosomal RNA